UGGAUCAUGAUUGGAUGCAUAUUUGUUUGCAAAGUAAUCCUGCCAUCCAGGCGUUCAUAAUUCUUCUUACUUUUGAAAUCCCAUGUACUUUGGCAUGUGUCAUUCAGGAUGGCUACCAUGUGUGCUCUAGCGUGAUCAGGCUUCAUGGUUAUGAGUCAGAUGAUGGGUUUGACCCGACCUGCAUACGUUGAAUUCGACCCAAAAUAAUUAAAUCAAACUCGAAUUAUCGAAUAAUUUAUUAAAAUGCAAUGAUGAAGGGAAACACAUUUUUUUAUGUUUACAUUUAAAAUAUGUGCAUAAAAAUAAUAAUAAGUGCUAUGUAAAAUAGAUAAAUUUAUUCAUUAUUUAGCACUUAUCACACCCCCCAACCUACAUUUUGCUAGUCCUCGAGCAAAAUAAAAACUAACUCACUUUCGCAGGAAUCGCGAUUGCAUUUACCGUAUGCAAUAAGGCUUUAAACCCCUAGGUGGCCCUAGUGGACGAGUUUUGUCUCGUGAGGGUUUUCGGCUCAGAUACCCACAAACUGUUGUCUCUACCCAAAGAGUUU
rnacentral:lncRNA from 1 species